GACGGUCCGGUUCACGCCGUCAGCAGACGGCGACCCGGCGCCC
rnacentral:ncRNA from 1 species